UGGGGAAUUUUGGACAAUGGGGGAAACCCUGAUCCAGCCAUCCCGCGUGUGCGAUGAAGGCCUUCGGGUUGUAAAGCACUUUUGGCAGGAAAGAAACGUCAUGGGUUAAUACCCCGUGAAACUGACGGUACCUGUAGAAUAAGCACCGGCUAACUACGUGCCAGCAGCCGCGGUAUUACGUAUGGUGCAAGCGUUAAUCGGAAUUACUGGGCGUAAAGCGUGCGCAGGCGGUUCGGAAAGAAAGAUGUGAAAUCCCAGAGCCCAACUUUGGAGCUGCAUUUUUAAUUACCGGGCUAGAGUGUGUCAGAGGGGGGUGGAAUUCCGCGUGUCGCAGUAAAAUGCGUAGGUAUGCGGAGGAACACCGAUGACGAAGGCAGCCACCAGGGAUAACACUGAAGCUCAUGCAAGAAAGCGUGGGGAGCAAACAGG
rnacentral:rRNA from 1 species